rnacentral:tRNA from 1 species
UCUUUAACGGUGUAUGACAUGUUACAAUUUCAUUGUAGAGUUGGUUUAAUACCUUAAAGUG